rnacentral:lncRNA from 1 species
GGGUUCUCCCUACAAUUAUUUAGGUCGUCAGGUUACCUUUGAUUUAUUGCCAAAAUUGCAAUACUUGCGGGUGCUCUCUUUUAAUGGCUAUAGAAUAACUGAGCUGCCAAACUCAAUUGGUGAUUUGAGAUAUCUACGGUAUCUUGACCUUUCCUACACAGCUAUAACUAGUUUGCCUAAAUCGACAAGUACUCUUUACAACCUGCAGACAUUGAUAUUGGAAGGCUGUUCAGAUUUGAAGUCAUUGCCUGCAGACAUGAGUAAUCUAGCUAAUUUACGCCAUCUCAACAACUCAGAUGUGUCUUCGUUGGAAGGAAUGCCUCCAAAACUAGGUAGAUUGGUGAAUCUCCAAUCUUUGCCUAAUUUUGUGGUCAGUGCUGGAAGUGAUCAAUCAGGAAUAAGAGAGAUAGGGCCCCUAUCGCAUCUCCAAGGGACAUUGUGCAUCUCAAGAUUGGAGAAUGUGACUGAUGUCGAGGAUGCUCAGUGGGCCAACUUAAAAUACAAGGUGAGGCUUGAUUCGUUGGUCCUAAAAUGGUCACAUUCAAGCGACACAAGAGAAAUGGAAUCUACUGUGCUUGACAUGUUAGAGCCUCAUAGAGAGAUCAAGGAGCUCACCAUCAAGAGUUAUGCCGGGAAGAAAUUUUCAUCAUGGGUUGGAGGUCAUUUGUUCUCUAAUAUGGGGCUUGUGCGCUUAGAGGAAUGUAACAAUUGUUUGUCGUUGCCACCUCUCGGACAAUUGCCUCAACUCAAAGAACUUUAUAUUAGGAGGAAUGAAUGCAGUGGAAAGGGUUGGUGCUGAGUUUUAUGGAGAGCGUAACUUGCCUUUUCGGGUAUUAGAGACUCUUGAUUUUGUGGAAUUGCAGCAUUGGAAGGAAUGGCUUCCUUUCUUACUGGAUCACGAAAGUGGUGCUUUCCCUUGCCUGAAAAGGAUGUCAAUAACAAAAUGUUCUAAACUGGAGGGUAAGCUGCCAGAGAACCUCAAUUCUUUAGCGAAGCUUGAAAUUGUUAAAUGUGAAGAAUUAGUGGUUUCAAUUGCCAACUACAAACAACUUCGUCAGUUAAACAUUGACGGUUGUAAAGUGUUGGUGCAUACAGCUGGUAAGGUUGAGUUUGAGUUAUUAGAGUCCUUGUGGCUUUCAAACAUUUCGGAGGUGAUGUCUCUGGAAACAGGGGAAUUGUUCAAGAAGGGAUUAACCAAGGUUAGUGAUUUGAUGAUUAAUGGAUGUGAGGAGGUGACGUCUUCAUUGAAGAAUGAGGGUAGAUUAUUGCAGCAGUUGACUUCUCUUAAUAGUUUGGAAAUUGAAGACAACUAUCGUCUAGUUGAAGAAUUGGGAAAAGAAGCAGAGGAGUUGCAAAUAUUGGAGUGCAGGCUUGAAUAUCUAAAGUUUAAAAAGUGCGAAAAUCUUUUGAAGCUACCAAAAGGAUUAAAUCAGCUGUCGUCUCUUCAAGAGCUUCGCAUACACGAAUGUUCACGUCUAGUUUCUUUCCCAGAUGUAGGUCUGCCACCUUCUCUUGAAAACGUCGAGAUUAGAGAGUGCCAUUCGUUGAUAUAUUUUGCAAAAUUCCAGAUUCCCCAAAAUCUCAAAAGAAUAGAGAUAAGAAAGUGCAAAAGUUUGAAAUCACUAGUGGAUGAGGAGGCUGUUGGUUCUUCUUGGUCGUCUUCUUCUCAUAUUUGUCUUGAGUACUUGAAGAUCGAAGGAUGUGAAUCUCUGACGUCGUUAUCAUUGAGUGGCCAGCUUCUCAGGACACUUAAACACCUUGAGAUACUUGGUUGUGAACAACUGGAGCUAAUCGCAGAGGACGGGUUCUUCCACGACAACACUAAUUAUUGUCUUGAAUACCUUAAUCUCUGGAAGUGCCAAAAUCUGAAAUCCUUACCGGAUGGCUUAUGCCACCUCAGCAAUCUGAGAAAGCUAUAUAUUCAAGAUUGUGGAAGUCUUGUUUCUUUCCCGAGACUGAGCGGGGGGAGACUACCCUCCAACCUGAGAGAGAUCCAGAUCACCAGUUGCGAGAAAUUGGAGGCGUUGCCUGAAGACAUGCACAAUCUCAACUCUCUUGAGGAAUUGAGGAUCGAGUACCGUGAAGGUUUGACUUUUCCUUCCAACCUCACGUUUCUUGAAAUUUGGAAGGUAAGGAGCUGUAAGUCAUUUUGGGAGUUGGAAUGGGGGUUGCACAGACUCACCUCUCUUAGAUACUUGUGGAUCGGAGGUGAAGACCCGGAUACGGUGUCGUUUCCACCCGACAUGGUCCGGAUGGAGACGCUCAUUCCCAUAUCUCUUACUCACCUCACAAUAAAAGGCUUCCCGAAUCUGAAGAAACUGAGCAGUAAAGGCUUUCAACUCCUCACCUCCCUUCAAUCUCUGCAUCUCUGGAAUUGUCCAAAGCUAGCAUCCAUUCCAGAGGAGGGUCUGCCUCCUUCACUAGAGCGACUUACCAUCUCUGAGUGCCCAAUGCUAAAAGAGAGAUGCCAACCAGGAAAAGGACGCUACUGGCAAAAUAUCCCACAUCCCUAAAAUACAGAUCGAUUGACAGCCGAUUUGAAGCUGAUAGUUGAUUCGAUCCCAUUCUCUAGGUCCAGGUAUCAUCUUCUCAAGGAAUGUUUUGUUAUUAUUAUUAUUAUCCACAAUAUUUGUUUUUUAUUUUUUUUAAAUUUAUGUCCUUCAUGUGGCUGAAGAUUUUCGGGGUUUCAUGAGUGGCUGCUUUGGGAGACCUUCAUUUGGCUCACACAGUAGAGCUGGUUCUGUCUUGCUUUGAGGGCGAUUCUUUGACGACAACAACCAUGGCUAUUUCUGGGCCAAGGUUUCUUCUCUCGCGUUCCUCGCAACACUAGUUUAUUUGGAGCCCAUGGGAUCUCAGAUCGAGUUGAGUGAGCAGGAUAGUUUUGUUGAAUUUGAAUAUGAUUUCCUGGCGUGGGGGGCAGAGGACUGGAAAAACUGGGAAUCUGGUGUGGUGGGAAAAAAAAAUGCAUGAAAUCGUUUGAUCUUGAAGGGACCAUUUGGAUCUCCACAUGGCCAAUCCUUGGAUUUGAUUGGUUCUGAUGAUACAAAAGCCUGAGCUUGACGGGUUCGUUAUGCAAACAGAUGAUGAACCAACUAGCAUUGCUGGAAAGGGAAAUAGCUUUGACGAGUGAGGAUAGUCAUAGUUGCUCGAGAAAGAAACUUUAUGAUAUUGGUCAGGCGUUUUAUGGAAGGUCAAGAGGGUGUGGAUAUGAGGACCAUAUAAGUUGCAUAAUUUUCCACAUCUCUACCAGUCUCUUCCAACUGGGCUUCUAGAGGGUGUGGAUAUGAGGACCAUGAAUGGUGCUGUCAAGCAAUUAGAGGAUGGUCUGAAACUUGAGCGGUCAAGAAUGGAGCAGGAGAAUAUGAAGCAGUUGGAGCUGCAGAAAAUGGAAAGAAGAAGAGAGGAAGAAAAAAGAGGCUGAUAUGGCAUCAAAGAAGAGACAAAGGGAAUAGGAAGAAAGGAAGGAGAAGGAAAGAAAAAGAAUGCGUGUUGAAGCUCGUAGACAGCGGAGAGAACAUGAAGACAAGUUACCUGCUGAAAAACUAGAGAAAGAAAUGAAAAACCACUCCACUGUAUGAUUCUUUAUGCUCUGCCUCAUUUCAUAUAUAUUUUGCAAUGUUAGAUUUCACAUUCUAUAUUGGGCUUUCUUGUAUAGGAUGGAAGAAGCCCUGGCGGUAAGAAAUUUAAAAUGGACAAAGAAAGGGGAUUUGACAAUUCCAGAAAUAUUUUGGAGACUGAGCCUAGUACUUCCAGGAUUUCAAUAAGCAAUGCCAGAAGAAAAUAUUAUCCACGAAAAGUUCCAUGAGGCCUCGAGUAGUUAUGGAUAUAAAGCAGAGGUAAAUGCUAAUGACUUUUUAACAAUCGAUACCCGCCAUAUCUUAGGAUCUAGUUGCAUAUGUUGAGUGCUUUUACUUGCAUAGGCAGGAGCAGAGUGAUAAACUGUGAGCAUAGCAUGAAUUAUAAUCCUCUGUUGUUGAAGUUUGCAUACGACCUCUAAAUUUGUUGGGUUGAACCUAUUUUGAGGCCUUCUUUAUACCAGGAAAUAGGGCUACACUCGCCUAAGUGCAAGAGUUCUCUUCUUUUAAAACUCCUAAUAGCUUAUUGUAAACUCAAGUCUGAACCACCUUUAGAAAGUUUUUCAAGUCUGAACCACCUUUAGAAAGUUUUCUUAUUCAUGAAUAGCUGCAUGCUGUUGUGCACUUUUACCUUGUCUGUAAAGCCUCUCGCUGAUACUUCCUGUGAUAUUUAAGGUACCUAGCAAUUUAGACAGAGAAAUGGAGAAUUCACUUGGCAUUACAAGUCAAGUGCAGUAUUAUGACAUCUCUGCAUACAAAGAAUCUGAUGAUGAAAACGACGAUGACGAUAAUGUCAUACCAAAUAGUAAAUUUAUUCCUUCAUGGUUAAGGUAUGUUUUUCAAUUGUUAUAUAUGAAAUAUGAUCUUCAAGUUAAAGAGCGUCACAAUCAUCUUGGUGAUAUGUAUCUUUAGCGAAAGGCAUAGAUUGUGUACCCUUUGAAAGUGUCAACUCAGCUGCGCUAUAAAAUAUCUGUUGUUUGGUUCUUGUUUUGUGCAGUAAAAACUGCCUGGCUUUUGCCGUUUCUAGCCAGAAUAGAGCAGAUCCAAAGACGAUAUUCGCCCCCCCCCCCCCCCCCCCCCCCCCCCCCCCCCCCCCCAGAAAGCUUUUGCUGCAUCUCUGAAGGUACUUUUAUGGUUUAAAGUCCCGAUCUUCGUAGCUAUUGCAUUGGCAUUUUGGCUGGUCAAUUUUUAGAUACUGCUGGACUAAGUUCCAAUAUGCUCAUUUGCAGUCCUCUUGCCCGAAAAGCAUCAAUUAAACAACAGCGGAAUGUGCUAAACUCUAUUCAGUAUAUUCCUCAGUAAUAAGAGCUUUUGAUCAUGAAGAGGUAAUGUUUACCUUUAUUGAUUAUUCUCAUUUUUCCUCUCCAUGCUCUAAACUACAUUUACGCUGCCAGUUUGGUUGUUAAAGGAGCAAUUUUCCUUCUGCGAAAUGUAAAAUGCCUUUAGUUACUGCCUAUCAAACCAAAAUACUUGUAGUAAUUGGUUUUUAUUUCUCGUUGCAGAUUUUCAAAGUCUAUUUGUGAACAGUUUCUUGAGCAGGCAACACCCUUCCAAGCCGAAAUGUAGCUGAAACGUGUAGAACUUUUUUUUUUAAUUUUUUUAUUUUUAUAUAUAGGAGUCUGUUGUAACUUAUCUCAGAUAAUUUGCAGUGUGAUUGUAGUUAAGAAGAGUAACAAGUUCCAUUGGCAGAAGGGCAAUUGCAUGAGCUAUUGAGUAAUUUGGUCAGCAUCUCCUGCUGCCUUGUUUUUUCUUUGGCACCGCCACUUUGGUCGGCAUUGGUUUCAGUUUUACUUUUAGCCCUCCUGAAGGAUGAUAAGAGAAGGCUAGAAAAAGUAUGUAUUUUGCAUGUUGAGUGCUUUUACUUGCAUAGUCUGGAGCAGAGUGAUAAACUGUGAGCGUAGCAUGAAUUAUAAUCCUCUGUUGAUGUAGUUUGCAUGGGACCUUUAAGCUUGUUGGGUUUUAACUCUUUUGUGGCCUUCCUUUUGCUAUCGUUACCACAAUAUAGGAAAGAAGGCUACAAUCGACUAAGUGCAAGAGUUUUCUUAUGUUAAAACUCCUAAUAGCUUAUUGUAAACUCAAAUCUGAACCACUGGUAGAAACUGCCGGGCUCCAAAAUAAUCUAUUGUUUGGUUCUUGUUUUGUACAGUAAAAACUGCCUGGCUUUUGCCGUUUCUUGCCAGAAUAGAGCAGACCCAGCGACGAUCUUCCCCCGAGAAAGCUUUUGCUGCAUCUCUGAAGGUACUUUUAUGGUUUAAAGCCAUGGUCUUAGUAGCUAUUGCUUUGGCAUUUUUGGCUAAUCAAUUUUUAGAUACUGCUGGACUAAGUUCCAAUAUGUGGGCACACGAGAAAGGAUAAGAUUAGGAAUGAGGAUAUCCGGGGUAAAGUAGGAGUAGCCGAAAUUGAAGGAAAGAUGAGAGAAAAUCGGUUACGGUGGUUUGGACAUGUGCAAAGAAGGCCUACUGACGCUCCGAUUAGAAGAUGCGACUAUGGGACACAGGUUCAGGGCCGAAGGGGUAGAGGAAGACCUAGGAAAACUUUGGAAGAGACUCUAAGAAAAGACUUAGAGUACUUGGAUCUAACGAAGGACAUGACACAGGACCGAGCACAAUGGCGUUCUAAGAUUCAUAUAGCCGAUCCCACUCAGUGACUUGGAUUUUCCAAGUCUCCAACCGAGAAGUUUUCCUCAUUCGGGAAAUUAAGGGAACACUACCUCAACCUACAUGCUCCACUCACAAAGCUUCAACAUACAAGCUUCAAUAAAAGAAAAUUCAAAGAACUUAGCGAAGAAGGCUUUGGUGUAUUUAACACAAACGUUGAAAUGAAGGAAAGCUUAUUUAUUGAUAUUCCCGAUAAGAUACAAAUAUGUACAUAUACAUAAGUCAAAAUAAACAAACAAGAGGGAGUCUUCACAAAGGUUGCUUAGGAGAAGUCUCAGCAGUCGGUAGCCCCAGAAAGAGAAGGCACCGGAGGGGGAUCAUUCAGAGCCUCAGUACUGGACAGAAUCCUAGAAGGAGGAGGAAUCAGAGGUUGAUCAUUUGGAGCUUCAUUACGCGGUACAGCCCCAGAAGAUGAAGGCAAUAAAUGCUUUUGGAUUAAACCCACAAAUCUUUGAUGAUCAAGUAAAACCUGACCAUCAGAUUCCUUCAUCUGGUCAAGCUUCCUCUUCAUGUUUGUAGCAUAGUCAUGGGCGAGCUGGUGCAACUGUUUAUUCUCAUGCUUAAGCCCUCUAAUCUCCUGUUUGAGACUCAUCUUUUCAGCCGCCAAUGAUUCAACUUGGCAGGUUCGAGCAAAUAGGCGUUGGGCCAUAUUAGACACAGAACCUGCACACUGAACACUGAGAACUGGCGAAUCCUUAACAGCUAACUCAUCAGACCGUUUGGAAAGUAGUCUGUUAUCUUUGGGAGUGAGAAGGUUCCUGGCCACCACCGCAGCGGUCAUAUCAUUCUUCAUUACGGAAUCCCCAACGGUAAGAGGACCAGUAGGGGAGACGAAGGAUGGGCGCCAUAUGUUGUCUGGAGAAGGCGGGGCUGCCUCUUCAACAAGGUUCAAGUCAAAACGACGGUCGGAAGGGCCAGACAUUUUCAAAGGUGUUGAAGAGAGAAGAGGUCGGACAAAUCAAGAUCUUAGAAGUGCAAGAAUGGAGCUUCUACUGGUGGAUUUCAAGUGUGCUUUAGAACUUAAUGCCAGCCCUUAUAAAAAUCUGCACUCGACGGAGCUUUAGAAAUCGAAGAGGCGUUUGCUUUCUCAAAAGCUGGGCUGCUCAGAGACCACGAGGGUUGAUCUCAGAAAUCGAAGAGGCGUUUGCUUUCUCAAAAGCUGGGCUGCUCAAAGACCACGAAGGCCAAUCUCAGAAAUCGAAGAGGCGCUCGCUUUCUCAAAAGCUGGGCUACUCAGAGACCACGAGGGCCGAUCUCAGAAAUCGAAGAGGCACCUACUUUUCCAGCCUUGUCAGCACCUGUCACACGCACACUCAACUUUGCGGAAAUUAUGGGCAUUCUGUCGAAGACUUCUGGUAAAGUAGAAAACACAUGAACCUUACUGCUCAAUCACCCACUUCCCACACGCAACAAUAGCUCAUGGGUACCACAGAUAACUUUGCCAAAGUUCUCUGCCAAAGUUGAGCACGUGAAGCUUGCAGCUCCUACUACAUCGCUCUAACCAAGAAGGGUAAAAGAAUAGUAAAGAAACAGCACUAACAAAGUUUAGACACAUAAAUUUUGAAGGCCUAGCUACCAUAUUAUUACCCACAAGGGUAAAGGAACAGUACCACUGCUGGAUAAUUGGAAAGUCCCUGUGUGUCAACCUCUGUGCUUCGUGGCAAGGUAGACUAGCAAACAUGCCCAACAUUUACUCACAUUCGAGAAAACUCCCAACAAGAUUGCUUGCUCCAAAAUCGAAGAGGCACCGUCCUCCGAAUCUCGGGAGCCAGACUCCCAACAUGACUACUGUCUCAAAAAUCGAAGAGAGGGUAAGGGAACAGUACCAUUGCUGGAUAAUUGGAAAGUCCCUGUGUGUCAACCUCUGUGCUUCGUGGCAAGGUAGACUAGCAAACAUGCACAACCUUUACUCACAUUCGAGAAAACACUCCCAACAAGAUUGCUUGCUCCAAAAUCGAAGAGGCACCGCCCUCCGAAUCUCGAGAACCAGACUCCCAACAUGAUUACUUUCUCAAAAAUCGAAGAGACACCGCUCUCCGAAUCUCGAGAGCCACACCCCCAGCGCGAUUACUUUCUCAAAAAUCGAAGAGGCAUUGUUCUCCGAAUCAAUCGAAGAGGUGCUCGCUUUCUCAAAAGCUGGGCUGCUCAGAGACCACGAGGGCCGAUCUCAGAAAUCGAAGAGGCACCUACUUUUCCAGCCUUGUCAGCACCUAUCACACGCACACUCAACUUUGCGGAAAUUAUGGGCAUUCUGUCGAAGACUUCUGGUGAAGUAGAAAGCACAUGAAUCUUACUGUUCAAUCACCCACUUCCCACACACAACAAUAGCUCAUGGGUACCACAGAUAACUUUGCCAAAGUUCUCUGCCAAAGUUGAGCACGUGAAGCUUGCAGCUCCCACUACAUCGCUCUGACCAAGAAGGGUAAAAGAAUAGCAAAGAAACAGCACUAACAAAGUUUAGACACAUAAAUUUUGAAGGUCUAGCUACCAUAUUAUUACCCACAAGGGUAAAGGAACAGUACCACUGCUGGAUAAUUGGAAAGUCCCCGUGUGUCCACCUCAGUGCUUCGUGGCAAGGUAGACUAGUAAACAUGCCCAACCUUUACUCACUUUCGAGAAAACACUCCCAACCAGAUUGCUUGCUCCAAAAUCCACCGUCCUCCGCAUCUCGAGGGCCAGACUCCCAACAUGACUACUUUCUCAAAAAUCGAAGAUGGUAAAGGAACAGUACCAUUGCUGGAUAAUUGGAAAGUCCCUGUGUGUCAACCUCUGUGCUUCGUGGCAAGGUAGACUAGCAAACAUGCCCAACCUUUACUCACAUUCGAGAAAACACUCCCAACAAGAUUGCUUGCUCCAAAAUCGAAGAGGCACCGCCCUCCAAAUCUCGAGAGCCAGACUCCCAACAUGAUUACUUUCUCAAAAAUCGAAGAGACACUGCUCCCCGAAUCUUCGAGAGCCAGACCCCCAGCAUGAUUGCUUUCUCAAAAAUCGAUGAGGCAUCGUUCUCCGAAUCAAUCGAAGAGGCGCUCGCUUUCUCAAAAGCUGGGCUGCUCAGAGACCACGAGGGCCGAUCUCAGAAAUCGAAGAGGCACCUACUUUUCUAGCCUUGUCAGCACCUGUCACACGCACACUCAGCUUUGCAGAAAUUAUGGGCAUUCUGUCGAAGACUUCUGGUGAAGUAGAAAGCACAUGAAUCUUACUGUUCAAUCACCCACUUCCCACACACAACAAUAGCUCAUGGGUACCACAGAUAACUUUGCCAAAGUUCUCUGCCAAAGUUGAGCACGUGAAGCUUGCAGCUCCCACUACAUCGCUCUGACCAAGAAGGGUAAAAGAAUAGCAAAGAAAUAGCACUAACAAAGUUUAGACACAUAAAUUUUGAAGGUCUAGCUACCAUAUUAUUACCCACAAGGGUAAAGGAACAGUACCACUGCUGGAUAAUUGGAAAGUCCCCGUGUGUCCACCUCAGUGCUUCGUGGCAAGGUAGACUAGUAAACAUGCCCAACCUUUACUCACUUUCGAGAAAACACUCCCAACCAGAUUGCUUGCUCCAAAAUCCACCGUCCUCCGCAUCUCGAGGGCCAGACUCCCAACAUGACUACUUUCUCAAAAAUCGAAGAGGGUAAAGGAACAGUACCAUUGCUGGAUAAUUGGAAAGUCCCUGUGUGUCAACCUCUGUGCUUCGUGGCAAGGUAGACUAGCAAACAUGCCCAACCUUUACUCACAUUCGAGAAAACACUCCCAACAAGAUUGCUUGCUCCAAAAUCGAAGAGGCACCGCCUUCCGAAUCUCGAGAGCCAGACUCCCAACAUGAUUACUGUUUCAAAAAUCGAAGAGACACCGCUCUCCGAAUCUCGAGAGCCAGACCCCCGCAUGAUUGCUUUCUCAAAAAUCGAAGAGGCAUCGUUCUCCGAAUCUCGAGAGCCAGAUCCUCGAUAGGAUUGCUUGUUCGAAAAUCGAAGAGGCACCACUUUCCCAACUUCAAGAGCCGGAUCUCCUUGGAUAAAGCUUGUCUGUAAUCUUCACACGCAACAUCAGCUUUCUAGAUACCACAGACCACUUUUUCAAAGUGCUCUGACAGAGUUAAAACAUGUGAAGCUGGCAGCUCCCACUACCGUGCUAUGACCAAGCAGGGUAAAGGAAUAGCAUUACUACUUGUUGUUAGGGAAACUCCUAUAUAUGUCGACCUUCAUCCCUAACGGACAGGCAGACCUGCAAAAAUGCUCAACCCUUCCUUAUAUCUGAGAGGGCACUCCCAACGAAGCCUUUCGAAAUAUUCAGCUUUCUUCCCCCCGAUAAUACCUCUGCAAACAAGCUAUACUAGAGCAAGAAUAUCUCAUAUCAUCAGGGUUAAAAGCAAGAGUAUCCCAUAUCAUGCUUUUUCCCUGUCUUUUCCUUUGGCCUUGUUCUUACCUGCAAGACAAGGAGAAAGAGAGCAAUCAGUCAGCACUUGGAAUCAAGCUUCCAGCCAGGAACUGACUGCCUGGAACCCCUUACCUGAUUACUUACCUGGCAUUGCUCUUGAGUACUCAUCUUCAACAUCUUAUGCUCCCAGGGAAGAUACCGCAUAUGCCUGAGGAACAGAUAGGGCAAGUGAGAAGGAUACAAGGAAGCAUAUGGAGACAAGCGUAACAGCACACGUGCCGAUACAUCCAUUACUCUGUCAAAAGCAAAAGUAUCCCAUAUCAGCAAGGUCGAACAUACUCUAGAUUUGAUGGACUUGUUUUGACCCUCAAAUUCUUCAGUCGGCCUUAUACACUGGAGGAAACCAGAAAACCCUCCAGCUCAGUUCAAGAAUAAGCCUGUGGAAAGUUACUUCUUCAAAAGCAAAAGUAUCCCAUAUCAUCUCUUCUCAUUUUUCUUCUCUUUAUCCUUCAUGCUGCCUGCAAGAUAAGGAGAAUGUGAACAAUCAGCCGGAGCUCUGAUUGCUUACCUUGUCUGUCACCUCUUUCAGCAGAUCCCCUAGCUCGGCGACUUGGGGACUCCUACUACAUGGUUUGUAUCGCGCUUGACCAAGCUUGAAACUACAAGUAAGCUUCAAGUGAAAUUGAUACAUUACCUUGUGCAUCUCCACCAGUUACAGAUACCACCCCUGGAUGGAGGAAGAGUACUUCCAGAGAAGAUGCCACAUCUACCUAUGAGACAGAUAAGGCAAGUCAAGACGAUACCACACUCCGGUACUUAGAAGUUUCGUGGUUACGAGAUCAUUCUCCCACAAUAUUUCCUAAUGUCAUUUGUACUAAAUCAUUCACUUGUACUCACUAAAGGAGAGCUUGAACCUACGUACUUGUGUAAACCCUUCACAAUUAAUGAGAACUCCUCUAUUCCGUGGACGUAGCCAAUCUGGGUGAACCACGUGCAUCUUGUGUUUGCUUUCCUAUCUCUAUCCAUUUAUAUACUUAUCAACACUAAUGACCGGAGCAAUCUAGCGAAGAUCACAAAAAGUGACCGUUUUCGCUACCUAGGAUCUAUCUUGCAGGAGAACGGAGAAUUAGAUGGAGAUCUCAACCAUAGAAUACAAGCUGGAUGGAUGAAGUGUAAGAGUGCAUCCGGCGUGUUGUGUGACCGUCGUAGGCCACUGAAGCUCAAGGGAAAAUUUUAUAGGACGGCAAUAAGGCCAACGAUGUUGUAUGGCACAGAAUGUUGGGCGGUGAAGCAUCAACACGUACACAAAAUGGGUGUAGCGGAGAUGAGGAUGCUUCGUGGGAUGUAUGGGCACACGAGAAAGGAUAAGAUUGGGAAUGAGGAUAUCUGAGGUAAAGUAGGAGUAGCCAAAAUUGAAGGAAAUAUGAGAAAAAAUCGGUUCCGGUGGUUUGGACAUGUGCAAAGAAAGCAUAUUGACGCUCCGGUUCGAAAAUGUGACUACGGGACAGAGGUUCAGGGCCGAAGGGGUAGAGGAAGACCUAGGAAAACUUUGGAAGAGACCCUAAGAAAAGACUUGAGUACUUGGAUCUAACGGAGGACAUGACACAAAACCGAGCGCAAUGGAGUUCUAGGAUUCAUAUAGCCGACCCCACUUAGUGGGAAAAGGCUUUGUUGUUGUUGUUGUUGUUUGACUAGAGCAGUGUACUUACUUUUUUGCACCCAAGUUGAAUUUAGUAUAAAUUAUUCUAUGGUUUGGAAAUGGAAAUAAAAAAAAUAAAAAAAGUCAAUUCAUGAAUAAUUCAAUGUAACGGAGUGUUUAAACGCAAAACUUGAGCGAGACAUUAGCGGAAUGAUAGUUUCAAUCCCGACCACAAAUUUGCUACACCAACUAGUAUAGGGCCUCGUAUCGGAUGGAAGAUGUCGAAGAGGACGCUUUCUGAAAAAAAACAGCAUACAUCACAGCCAUGAUGCGUAGUCUGAAAACUUUCUGACACAAAUCACCAAAUGGGCAAGCUCAAAGUUUACAAAUUUCCAAUUGGGUAAGUUCAAAGUUUACAAAUUUCCAAUUGGGUAAGCUCAAAGUUGACAAAUUCCCAAUUGGGUAAGCUCAAAGUUCACAAAUUGUCAAUUGAGUAAGCUCAUAUUACAAUAUUCACUUAACAGAGCAAUUUUUAAAAUGUGUGAUCAAAAGUAUAAUGAUUUGUCAAAACGUGCCUAUUGUGAUUAAUUAUCCUUGUAUUAUUAAAGCAAUGUCAUAUCAGAACGACAAUGUACUCACUUUAUGAAAAUUCUUCGCGUCCGUUACAUUUUAGAAUGUACACAUGGAAGUCAUUCAAAACAUAAUCACAGUUGCCAUGUGUUUUCCUGGUCCGCCAAAUGAUCAUUUUCUUGUCCUUUGUGUUUUGUUAAGUAGUUCCUGCAUUUUGGCCCCCAUUUUCUGAUUAAUAUAUGAAGGGCAUGAACCUUCGCAUAUAGAAUUGAUUAAACAGCAGUUUUAAAAAGUGAAAUCAAAAGUGCCACAAUUUGUCAAAAGUUGUCAAACUGUGAGUUUGUGACUAAUUGCCCUUGUAUUACUCGAGCAAUGUGAUACCACAUCAAUGGUAUGGUAUACUCGUUCUAUGGAAAGUCUUCAUGAUCUUUAUAAUUUAGAUAAGACAAAUGAAUGAAUCAUUCAAAACAUAAAGUUUUUUUAAUUUUAUUUUUAAUUUUUUAUGUUAAAUUUUUUUUCACGCAUUAUUGUGUUAUUUAUUUAAAAUAUUGACUAAAUGGCGAACUAGAUAAGUGAUUCUCGUGGAAAGAAUACAAGUUAGGGAUGGGCAAACAGGUAUAGGAACCACGGGUCGAGACGGGUUCAAAAAUUAUAAAUACAAAACGAGACGGAACAGAACAGGACGGGACGGGUAUAGGUAAAUAAUGGGGCGAGAUGGUUCUAGAAAUUGGAAAAAAAGGCCCCGGCCUGGACCGUUGAUUUCCCACCGUUGACUCUCUCUCUCUCUUUUUCUUGUCCGAGACUCCCAAGACCCCAUUCCAUUCUCAGACCUCCCCUCUCUAGGUCUCUCCUCCUUGAAUCUCAUUUGCUCUCUCGCCGCCACCAUCAUCAUCAGACCUUGAUUUCUCCUCCUGAUUCACUCUUGUCUUCCUCACUCGGUCCGCUGCCAUCAUUAUCAGGCCUCGUUCGCUUGAUCUUUGGCGACUCUUUGUGGUGCGCCGACGACAAGGUCGUUGAUGAGUUCCUGAUGGAGUAGCCAAUCCCGCCGUACCUGUUCGCGUUCGCCGUCAACAAAGGGUUUGGGUGGUUCUUUCCGGUGGUGGCUCUGGGAAUGCUGAGGUACAUGAUCGCCACAUCAAACAUCAUACAUGACUGCGACGAGGUCUUCAACUUUUGGGAGCCUCUCCAUCUCGAUUCUCUUUCUUUUUCCUCUCUGAAAAAUUGAAACUUUGUUCUUUUUAGGUGUUUUGUUUCUGGGUUUUGAUUGUUUGUUAUUUUCUGGGUUGUUUUUAUUUUGCUUGUUAUGAAAUUAUUUGUCUUUGUGGUUAUUUGAAGUUUAUUUGAUAUUAAAGAUGUUAAUAUAAUGCUAUGUUUGGUUAUAAUUUGUAGAGAACUAUUAAGCUCUGGAUUUAAUUUAUUGGGGAAGUUGGUUGUGUAAUUUCUCAAAAAAAAAAAAAGGAACAUAGGGCCCGUGUUCUCGGCCCAAACCGGCCCGUCCUGUUUCCUUUUUAAGUGGAUCAGGUCCGGUCCCUCCAAAUUUGAGUCUGGCCCGGCCCGGCCGGUGCCCAUCUCUAAAUUACAAGUUUCUAACUUUUCUUGUGCGCGUGGAUUGUCAUUUUGUGCUGUUGGUGGAAUACUGACACAAUUGCAAACCUAAUUCUUUUAAAAAAGGAAAACUAAUGAAAAAUGCUUGAAAACUUUGAGUUUUAAUGAUAAGGACAAAAUAAAGGGUAAAGUGAAUAGUACCAUGAUUGACUUUUUAGUGUAAAAAUGUGGUUUUUCGUUAAAGUGAACAGUACCGGGUGCUUUUAGUUAAAGUUCCCUUUAAAAAAUUUGUUUGUUUUGUAGCUUCUUAUCUUCAAAGUUUUGUUUUAGAGGCGUUUGGUCAUAUGUCAUUUUGUUUUGUCUAUUUUCGUUACAUUAGGUGUAACUUUUUUCUUUUCUUUUCAUUUUAAUAAAUGGGGGUAAGGCUAGCCGACAUUCACCUCUCACAGACCCUGCGUAAAGCGGAAGCCUUGUACACUGGGUACGACCUUUAAUAAAAUUUCCUUCUACCAUUGAGGUUCUACCAGAAGAAAAUGACAAAUGAAAAAUAAUCUACCCACAAUUCAUCUAAAUUAUGAAAACAAAGAAGAAUUUAGACCCAAAACACAAUGGUUUGAAUAGAAAAACCUUAUCCCAAGAUAACCCACAAUUUGUGAUAUUUCACUCCAUGAAAAUCCUGCUCAAUUUUCAUUCCUUAAACAUCUAUUCAGGAUAUGGCAAGUAAAGCGUGGAGAUUGGUUACAGCCCUUGUGACUAAACGUAAACGAUGGUAAAAGGAAUUAGCAUAGCAAAUUGAAUUAUUGCAGAGCUCUAAAUGUUGUGAACUGUAAUGGAGGAUCGCUCAGUAGAAGAAAUAAAUAAGUAGUGGUGAUGUAGGACUGUUUUGUAAGGGAUUUUGGGUUAAAGUGUAAGGGUUUUUGUAAUCGGGUUCAAUUGUAAUCACCUAAGUCUUUAGUGGAGCCUAGUUAAUUUGUUAGUGGUGUCCAGCUGGCACACAUGUAGUGGGGAAAAUAACACUGGCGCGUGGUUAAAUGGUGGCCAGAGGAAAUUGUAAGGGCAUGAUGAAAUUAAUGAGCAGAAUAUCCUUCUCUCUUUUCUCUCUACUCUGUCCCUUCAUCACUGUCGCCACAGCUGCCAUUGCAGGUUGAGGCCAUAGCAGGUCUGGGUCUUAUCACUAAAGUCUUUUGUGGUCUGGAAUCUGGAUGCGUUGACUUUCAUAAGCGAUCAGAUGAGUUCGAUGGAAACAAGUCCCUUCAUCUUCAUGAUCAUCUGAAAACUUCAAUUGAUGCAGUAAGUUCUUCUUCCAACAAUAUCUAUAUGGGAAAGCCAUUAUUUAUUCGUUAUUUAUUUCAUUUUCUUCAUCUUAAUUGCAGCUAAAUAUAUAUAUGGUUUCAUGUUCAACACUUUGUUAAUUGCACUAAAGUUUUCAAAUUCAACUGAAAUCUGAUUGAGCCCCUGUGUAGCCGAUUGAACAUAAAGAUUUUAACAUGUAAAAAGCAUAUGGUUUUUAACAUAUAUACCCGAUUGAGCCCCUGUGUAGCCGGUUGGACGGUUAUGGAAUUGCAUAAAUUUGUAUACAAUAAUUAGUUUCAUCUGUUUUAAUUGUGCAGCUGUGACUACUUGUGAGUCUUGAUUGGUAUUGCUUAACGGAUCAAACUUCCAAUUCAAGAAACUAUGGCGGCAGAAAAUUUUCUUGUGGCAUUCCUCCAAGUGCUGGUUGACAAGUUGGCGCAACGCGAGGUCUUCAAGUACUUUGGACUCGUAAAGGGCAUCGAUCAGAUACUGAAGAAGUGGAGUGCCACCUUGUCUGCAAUUGGAGCGGUGCUGAAUGACGCGGAGGAAAGGCAACUGACUGCUGAGAGCAACGCACUGAAGCUCUGGCUCGAUGAUCUCAGGGACUUGGCUUUUGAUGCGGAAGACGUGUUGGAUAAAUAUCAUACUAAAAUGUUGAAACGUCAGAUACAACAUGCUCAUUCCAGCACAACAAGCAAAGCAUGGAAAUCAAUUCCUAAUCGUCUUUUCAACUUCAAAAUGAAUUUGGAAAUACAGAAGAUUACUGAGCGAUUACAAGAGAUAUCUGAAAGAAAAGACCAGCUUAGUUUGAAAAUUGAUACUGGGAUGUUGACUACAAGGGCACAUCAACACAUAUCGCCUAGUUCUAGUCUACCGGAUGGACCUGUGAUUGGAAGGGAGGAGGACAAAAGGAAGAUUGUUGAGCUGCUGUCAAAGCAAGAGCAUCGUGCUGUCAAUUUCGAUGUAGUUGCAAUUGUUGGUAUGGCUGGAGUUGGAAAGACAACACUUGCUGGACAAGUACUCAAAGAUAUUGUUGCAACCCAAAUGUUUCAACCAGCCAUUUGGGUGUGUGUAUCUGACGACUUCAACCUUCAAAGAGUGACAAAGCAAAUUCUUGAAUCAAUCACAUCUCGACAAUGUACCACAGAAGAUCACAAUAAGGUUCAAGAUGAUCUGCAUAAGGAGUUAGCAGGGAAGAAGUUUUUAAUUGUUUUAGAUGAUGUUUGGAAAACGUGUAGCUACAGAGAAUGGAUGAAGCUGCAGUCCCCUUUUCGUGAUGGAGCACAAGGAAGCAAGAUAGUUGUGACAACACGUGAUACAGAUGUUUCAAAAAUGAUGGGAGCUGCCACGCUGGUUCACAACUUGGUGCCUAUGGAAAAUCAUUUUUGUUUGCAAGUAUUUGAGCAGCAUGCAUUCUUAAAUUUUAACGACAAACCGCCAAAUUAUGAGUUACUUCAGGAGAAAAUUGUUGCAAAGUGUAGGGGAUUGCCUUUGGCUGCGAGUACCCUCGGUGGUGUUCUACUUCGUAAAGAAAUAGACAAAUGGGAAGAAAUAUUGAACAACAAGUUGUGGAGUGUCUCAAAUGAGCAUGACAUACUUCCUGUGUUGAGACUAAGUUACUUUUAUCUUCCUUCACAUUUGAAAAGAUGCUUUGCCUAUUGCUCAAUACUUCCAAAUGACUAUGAAUUCGGGGAUAUGCAAAUGAUCCUUCUGUGGAUGGCCGAGGGUUUGAUUCUUUCUCGACCAGAAGAUAAUAAGCAAAUUGAAGAUUUAGGCGCUGAUUAUUUCCGGGAGCUCGUAUCUAGGUCAUUGUUUCAAAAGUCAACCAAAAAUACUUCAAAAUAUGUGAUGCAUGACCUCAUUGGUGAUUUAGCAAGAUGGGCAGCUGGAGAUAUUUGUUUUAGAUUGGAGGAUAAGCAAAAUGAUGAUGGUGUACAACUUAGAUGUUUUCCAAAGGCACGCCAUUCGUCUUACUUUAUGGGUCACUAUGAUGGGGCUAAAAGAUUUAAGGCAUUUUCUAAAGUGAAAUGUCUGCGAACCUUCUUGCCACUAAGAAAGGGUUCUGGCUACAAUUACUUAAGCCAUCAGGUUACUUCUGAUUUAUUGCCAAAAUUGCAGUACUUGCGGGUGCUCUCUUUUAAUGGCUAUAGAAUAACUGAGCUGCCAAACUCAAUUGGUGAUUUGAGAUAUCUACGAUAUCUUGACCUUUCCUACACAGCUAUAACUAGUUUGCCUAAAUCAAUCAGUACUCUUUACAACUUGCAAACAUUGUUAUUGGAACGCUGUUCCUAUUUGAAGUCAUUGCCUGCAGACAUAAGUAAUCUAAUUAAUUUGCGCCAUCUCAACAACUCAGAUGUAUCUUGGGUGGAAGGAAUGCCUCCAAAACUAGGUAGAUUGGUGAACCUCCAAUCUUUGCCUAAUUUUGUGGUCAGUGGUAGAAGUGAUCAAUCAGGAAUAAGAGAGAUAGGGCCUCUAUCGCAUCUCCGAGGGACAUUGUGCAUAUCAGGAUUGGAGAAUGUGACUGAUGUCAAGGAUGCUCAGAGGGCCAAUUUAAAAUACAAGGCGAGGCUUGAUUCGUUGGUCCUAAAAUGGUCUUAUUCAAGCGACACAAGAGAAAUGGAAUCUGCUGUGCUUGACAUGUUAGAGCCUCAUAGAAAGAUCAAGGAGCUCACCAUCAAGAGUUAUGCCGGAAAGGAAUUUUCAUCAUGGGUUGGAGGUCAUUUGUUCUCUAAUAUGGUGCUUGUGCGCUUAGAGGAAUGUAACAAUUGUUUAUCUUUGCCACCUCUUGGACAAUUGCCUCAACUCAAAGAACUUUAUAUUAGAGGAAUGAAUGCAGUGGAAAGUGUUGGUGCUGAGUUUUAUGGAGAGCGUUACUUGCCUUUUCAGGUAUUAGAGACUCUUGAGUUUGUGGAAAUGCAGCAUUGGAAAGAAUGGCUUCCUUUCCAACUGGAUCACGAAAGUGGUGUUUUCCCUUACCUGAAAACACUCAUAGUAAAAAAAUGUUCUAAACUGGAGGGUAAGCUGCCAGAGAACCUCAAUUCUUUAGGUAAGCUUGAAAUUGUUGAAUGUGAAGAAUUAGUGGUUUCGACUGCCAACUACAAACAACUUCGUCAAUUAAACAUUGACGGUUGUGAAGUGUUGGUGCAUACAGCUGCUAAGGUUGAGUUUGAGUUAUUAGAGUCCUUGUGGCUUUCAAGCAUUUCAGAGGUGAUGUCUCUACAAACAGGAGAAUUGUUCAACAAGGGAUUAAGCAAGGUUAAAGAUUUGAAGAUUAAUGGAUGUGAGGAGGUGACGUCUUCAUUCAGGAAUGAGGCUAGAUUAUUGCAGCAGUUGACUUCUCUUGGCUGUUUGGAAAUUGAAGGCAACUCUCUUCUAGUUGAAGAAUUGGGAAAGGAAGCAGAGGAGUUGCAAACAUUGGAGUGCAGGAUUGAAUGUCUGGAGUUAAACAAGUGCGAAAAUCUUAUGAAGCUACCAAAAGGGUUAAAUCAAUUGUCGUUUCUUCAAAAGCUUGGCAUACACGAAUGUUCACGUCUAGUUUCUUUCCCAGAUGUUGGUCUGCCACCUUCUCUUAAAGACAUCGAGAUUACAUCGUGUGAUUCGUUGAUAUAUUUUGCAAAAUUCCAGAUUCCCCAAAAUCUCAGAAGAAUAGAGAUAAGAGAGUGCAAAAGUUUGAAAUCACUAGUAGAGGAUGAGGCUUUUGGUUCUUCCUGGUCGUCUUCUUCUCAUAGUUGUCUUGAGUACUUGUUUAUCGAUGGAUGUAAAACUCUGACGUCGUUAUCAUUGAGUGGCCAGCUUCUCAGGACACUUAAACACUUUCAGACAUACAGAUGUGAACAACUGGAGUUAAUUGCACAAGAUGGGUUCUUCUACGACAACACUAAUUACUGUCUUGAAUAUUUUAGGAUAUGGAAGUGUGAAAAUCUGAAAUCCUUACCGGAUGGUUUAUGCCACCUCAGCAAUCUUCAAAAGCUACAUAUUCAAGAAUGUGGAAGUCUUGUUUCCAUCCCGAGACUGAGUGGGGGGAAAAGACCCUCCAACCUGAGGGAGAUCGAGAUCAGAAAUUGCGAGAAAUUGGAGGCGUUGCCCGAAGACAUGCACAAUCUCAACUCUCUUGAGGAUUUGAGAAUCGACUACCGUGAAGGUUUGACUUUUCCUCCCAACCUCACAUCACUUACAAUUUGGAAAGUCAAGAGCUGUAAGUCAUUGUGGGUGUUGGAGCGGGGGUUGCACAGACUCACCUCUCUUAGCAAGUUGGGGAUCUAUGGUGAUAACCCGGAUACGGUGUCGUUUCCACCAGACAUGGUCCGCAUGGAGUUGCUCCUCCCUAGAUCUCUCACUCAACUCCAUAUUUGUGGCUUCCCGAAUCUGAAGAAACUGAGCAGCAAGGGCUUUCAAUUCCUCACCUCCCUUCAAUCGCUUACACUAUGGAAUUGUCCAAAGCUAGCAUCCAUUCCAGAGGAGGGUCUGCCUCCUUCACUUACGAAACUUUGGAUCUUUGGGUGUCCUGUGCUAAAAGAGAGAUGCCAACCAGGAAAAGGACGCUACUGGCACAAAAUAUCCCACAUUCCUUCCAUGCAGAUAUAGAUUUUAAGAUGAUUUGAAGCUGAUGGUCGAUUCGAUCCCAUUCUCUAGGUUCAGGUAUCAUCUUCUCAAGGAAUGUUUAAUGCCAUGGUCUUCCCCCCAGAAAGCUUUUGCUGCAUAUCUGAAGGUACUUUUAUGGUUUAAAGCCAUGGUCUUAGUAGCUAUUGCUUUGGCAUUUUUGGCUAGUCAAUUUUUAGAUACUGCUGGACUAAGUUCCAAUAUGCUCAUUUGCAGUCCUCUUGCCCAGAAACCAUCAAUUAAACAACAGCAGAAUGCGAUAAACUCUAUUCAGUAUACUCUUCAGUAAUAAGAGCUUUUGAUCAAGAAGAGGUAAUGUUUACCUUUAUUCUCAUUUUUCCUUUCCUUGCUCUAAACUACUUUUGUGCUGGCAGUUUGGUUGUUAAAGGAGCAAUUUUCCUUCUGCAAAAUGUAAAAUGCCUGUAGUUACUGCCUAUUGAAACCAAGAUACUUGUAAUAAUUGGUUUUUGUUUCUCGUUGCAGAUUUUCAAAGUCUAUUUGUGGACAGUUUCUUGAGCAGGCGACACCCUUUCAAGCCGAAAUGUAAUUGUUAUCUCAGAUAAUUGGCAGACUGAUUGUAGUUUAGAAGAGUAACAAGUUCCAUUGGCAGAAGGCCAAUUGCCUAAGCUAUUGAGUAAUUUGGUCAGCAUCUCCUGCUGCUUUCUUGUUUCUUUGGCACCGCCACUUCGACUGCCACUGGUUAGUAUAGGGCUUCAUAUCGGAUGGAAGAUGUCUAAGAGGACGCUUUCUCCAAAUAAAAAAAAAAAAGCAUAUCUGAAAACUUUCUGAUACAAAUCACCAACUGGGUAAGCUGAAAGUUUAGAAAUUUCCAAUUGAUUAAGCUCAAAGGUGACAAAUUUCCAAUUGGGUAAGCUCAAAGUUAAAAAAUUGUCAAUUGAGUAAGCUCAUAUUUCACCCCCUUUCCAAUUAAUGAAGGACACUAUAUAACUUCUUACGGAUACAAUUUAUCAAAACGUACCUAUUGUGAUUAAUUACCCUUGUAUUAUUCAAAUGUGAUAUCAAAAUGAUAGCGUACUUACCCUAAAAAAAUUAUUUAUGGCCGUUACACUUUUAGACUAUACACAUGAAUUAGUCAUUCAAAACAUAGGAACAAUUGCCAUGCGUUUUCCUAGUCUGCCAAAUGAUCAACUUUGUCUUCUUGUCCUUUGUGUUGUGUUAAGGUAGUUGUUGUAUUUUUGCCCCCUUUUAUAGAUAAAUGAAGGGCACUACGAACCUUCACAUAUAUAUUAUAAAAUUGAUUAAAAAAAGCAGUUUUAAAAAGCGAAAUUAUAAGUGCCACCAUUUGUCAAAAGAUGUUCACAAUAAGUUUGUGACUAAUUUUCUUUAUAUUAUUCUAAUUUUCUUUAUAUUAUUCAAGAAAUAUAAUAUCAUGAUAACUGUAUAUUGUUUUAGUACCGUUACACUUAAAACUAGGCACAUGAAUCAAUUCUUCAAAACAUAAAAGUUUUUCUAAUUAUUUUUCUUUGAUGCUAAGUUAUUCAUCGCGCAUUAUUGUGUUAUAUUUGAAAUAUUGACUCAAUGAUAAAGUAGAUAAGUGAUACUCGAAAGAAUAUAACUUAUUAACUUUUGUUGUACGUGGAUUGCCAUGAGGAUAGUGGAACUGCAACUUUUCUAGCAUGUGGAAUUCUGACACAAUCGCAAACCUAAUCCUUUUAAAAAUUGUUUGUUUUGUAGCUUUCUUAUCUUUUAUAUUUUGUUUUAGAGAGAUUUUGUCUUUUAUUUUUUUAUCUAUGUAUUUUUUUUUACAAAGAGUAAGGUUUAUGUUUUUUUUUAUAUCAAAAAAAUUCCUUGUACCAUUGAGAUAUUACCAAAAUAAAAUGACAAAAGAUAAAUAAUCUAUAUUAAAUUCAUCUAAAUUAUGGGAAGAACUAGGAUUUAAACCCAAAAUACUGGGGCAAUCCACUUGUAAUAACUUCACUCCAUCAUGAAUCUUACUCAAUUUUCAUUUCUUAAACAUCUAUUCAAGGGAUAGGCUUUUUAGCCAAAAUAGUUUCUGAGAUUUACAUAACUCAUCAUUUUGUUUCUGAGAUUUGAAAUCAAUAUAAGUGGUCUAUAAGAUUGUCUACCAUCAAUCAUUUUGAUUAUUCCGUGAAACAUUAUGUUAAAUAAGGAUCAAAAUGAUAAAAUACAUUUAAUUUAAUAAACAAUAGGCCAAAAUGAUCUGACAAAAAUUAAGAAUAUUUUUGUCAUUUUAUUCUUAUUUAAUGAAUAUUUUUCAUAGAAUAACCAUUAAUGUGGACAAUUUCAAGAAUCAAUUCUAUUAAUUUCAAAUCUUAAAAACCAAAAUAAUGAAUUAUACAAAUUUAAAGAACUAUUUUAACUAAAAAAUCUUCGGGACAUGGUAAGUAUAAGUGUGGAGUUACUGCUCUUGUGACUAAACGAUGGAAAAGCCGAAUCAGGACUCAUGGCGGCGACUUCGGUAAAAUCUAGUGUCGGUAGGGUUAAGAGCUCUUGGGGUGUUUGCCAAUUUCCAAUGCUUUUUCGUGAUCUGCCAAAUCAUCAACUUUGCUUUCUUGUCCUUCCAACUGUGUGGCUCACGAUAAAAGUUGCAUUUUUACUCCUCAUCUUAAAUUAGGAUGUACUUUCAUCAUAUAUUUUAAAAGAAAAACUAAUGAAAAGGUUUUGAAAACUUUGAGUUUUAAUGAUAAGGAUAAAAUAAAGGGUAAAGUAAAUAGUACCAGGAUUGACUUUUUAAUGUAAAAAUAUGAUUUUUCGUUAAAGUGAACAUUACAGAGUGCUUUUCGUUAAAGUUCCCUAUUUUAAAUUCUGUUAUGUAUUUUUAAUUUAACUCUGAUUAAUUUUUAUAUUAAACAUUUUUUUUAAUUUACAAAUUUAAUCAUCUUAACAUUAUUUUUUUUAUUUUUUUAUAACAAAAAUUUAUGACCCAAGGAUAGUAAAGAGGGGAUAACAAAAAUUUUUGCCACAAAGGAUAUAUCAUGGUAAAUUGAAUUAUUGAAGAGCUCUAAAGUCUUUUGCCAUAUGGAAUCUAGAAUUGUUGAUUUUCAUAAGCGAUCAGAUCGAUGGAAACGCGUCCCUUCAUCUUCUUGAUCAUCCGAGAACUUCAAUUAAUUUAGUAAGUUCUUCUUCCAGCUAUAUCUAUAUGGGAAAUCCAUUAUUUAUUCAUUAAAUAUUUCAUUUUCUUCAUCUUAAUUGCAGCUAUAUAUAUAUGGUUUAAUGUUCAACACUUUGUGCAGUCUUAAGCUCGAGAGAUCAAGCUUCCAGGGAACUACUUAAAUCUUAAUUGCACUAAAGUUUUCAACUGAUCCUCGGAAGCAAGUGUCCUCGUGAUCCGACGACUUCCAUGUAAGUUCUUGCUACACAUCCGGUUUUAUAUUCAUUCGAGUUUCGAGUUAUGUAACUUGUCGUGUCCUAAAUUAAUAGUGGUAGUUUAAAAUGUAAACAAUAUAUAAUUUUUGACAUAUCUGAUUGAGCUUCUGUGUACCCAUAUAAUUAGUUUCAUCUGCUUAAAUUGUGCAUUUGUGACUACCAUGUGCUGCUUCUUGUGCUUUGUGCUGUGCGCUCAGGACAAUAGUUUUUUAUUACACAGAGGAAACAGGAGAAGACAAAAUUAUGCCCUGCGACAAUGAAGAGAUAGAGAAAAGAAAGAGGAGGAUUUAUCAUAGCAAAUUGAACUAUUGAAAGCUCUGAAGUCUUUGUCGUCUGGAAUCUGGAUUCUUCGACUCCAAUACGAGAUCAGAUCAGAUCAGAUGCAAUCAAGUCUCUUCGUCUUCAUGAUCAUCUGAAAACUUCAAUUUAAUGCAGUAAGUUCUUCCAAUUAUAUUUAUAUGGGAAAUCCAUUAUUUUUAUUUAAUUAUUUCAUUUUCUUCAUCUUAAUUACAGCUAUAAAUAAUAUAUAUAUUUAUGUGGUUUAAUGGUCAACAGUUUGUGCAGUUUUAAGCUCGAGAGCUCAAGCUUUCAGGGAACUACUCAGUCUUAACUGCGCUAAAGUUUUCAACUUCAACAAAAACUUGAUCCCUGGAAACAAGUGUUCUCUUGAUCUGACGACCUGACGACUUUCACGUAAGUUAUUGCUACGCAUCUGGUCCUCUUACUAGUGUAACGUGUUUCAAGUUGUGUACCGUGUCGGAUUAUAAAUUAAUAAUGUUAUUUUAAAAUGUAACAAAGAUAUGAUUUUGUAGUCUCGAAUUUAUCUUUUGUGCUUUGUCUGUCAAAUUAAGCAAUUUUGAGUAAAACGUAAUUGAACUUAUCAUGUAAUUGAACUAUUUGACAGUAAAACGUAACGUGACUCACAUACCCGAUGGAGCCCGUGUACCCAAAUAAUUAGUUUCAUCUGUUUAAAUUGUGCAGAUGUGACUACUUGUGGGUCUUGAUUGGUAUUUUUUCAACGGAUCAAACUUCCAAUUCAAGAAACUAUGGCGGCAGAGGCUUUUCUUGUGUCAUUCCUCCACUUGCUGGUUGACAAGUUGGCGCGUCGCGACGUCUUGAAGUACUUUGGACUCGUAAAAGGCGUCGAUAAGAAACUGACGGAAUGGAUUGCCACCUUGUCUGCAAUUGGAGCUGUGCUGAUUGACGCGGAGAAAAGGCAACUGGCGGAUGAGAGCAACAUACUGAAGCUCUGGCUCGAUGAUCUCAGGGACUUGGCUUUUGAUGCGGAAGACGUGUUGGAUAAAUAUCAUACUGAAAUGUUGAAACGUCAGAUACAUCAUGCUCAUUCCAGCGCAACAAGCAAAGCAUGGAAAUCAAUUCCUAAUGGUGUUUUCAACUUCAAGAUGAACUCAGACAUACAGAAGAUUACUGAGCGUUUACAAAAGAUAUCUGUACGAAAAGACCAGCUCGGUUUGAAAAUUGAUACUGGGACGUUGACUACAAGGGCACGCCAACACAUACCGCCUAGUUCUAGCCUACCAGAUGGACCUGUGAUUGGAAGGGAGGAGGACAAAAGGAAGAUUGUUGAGCUGCUGUCAAAACAAGAGCAUCGUGCUGUCAAUUUCGAUGUAGUUGCAAUUGUCGGUAUGGCUGGAGUCGGAAAGACAACACUUGCUGGACAAGUACUCAAAGAUAUGGUUGCAACCCAAAUGUUUCAACCAGCCGUUUGGGUGUGCGUAUCUGACAACUUCAACCUUGAAAGAGUGACAAAGCAAAUUCUUCAAUCAAUCACAUCUCGGCAAUAUACCACAGAAGAUUACGAGAAGGUUCAAAAUGAUCUGCAUAAGGAGUUAGCGGGGAAGAAGUUUUUAAUUGUUUUAGACGAUGUUUGGAAAACGUGUAGCUAUGGUGAAUGGAUGAAGCUGCAGUCCCCUUUUCGUGAUGGAGCACAAGGAAGCAAGAUAGUUGUGACAACACGUGAUACAGAUGUUUCAAAAAUGAUGGGAGCUGCCACGCUGGUUCACAAUUUGGUGCCUAUGGAAAAUGAUGUUUGUUUGCAAGUAUUUGAGCAGCAUGCAUUUUUGAAUGCUAACAACAAUAGACCACCAAACUACGAGUUACUUAAGGAGAAAAUUGUUGCAAAGUGUAGGGGAUUGCCUUUGGCCGCGAGGACCCUCGGUGGUGUUCUACUUCGUAAAGAAAUAGACGAAUGGGAAGAAAUAUUGGACAACAAAUUGUGGAGUCUCUCGAAUGAGCAUGACAUACUUCCCGUGUUGAGACUAAGUUACUUUUAUCUUCCUUCACAUUUGAAAAGAUGCUUUGCCUAUUGCUCAAUACUUCCAAAUGACUAUGAAUUCGGGGAGAUGCAAAUGAUCCUUUUGUGGAUGGCCGAGGGUUUGAUUCAUCCUCGACCAGAAGAUAAUAAGCAAAUUGAAGAUUUAGGUGCUGAUUAUUUUCGGGAGCUUGUAUCUAGGUCAUUGUUUCAAAAAUCAACUGCAAAUAUUUCAAGAUAUAUGAUGCAUGACCUCAUUGGUGAUUUAGCACGAUGGGCAGCUGGAGAUAUUUGUUUUAGAUUGGAGGAUAAGCAAAAUGAUGAUGGUGUACAACUUAAUCCGAAGGCACGCCAUUCGUCUUACCUUUUGGGUCAUUGUGAUGGGGUUAAAAGAUUUGAGGCAUUUUCUGAAGUGAAAUGUUUGCGAACCUUCUUGCCACUAAGAAAGGGUUCUACCUACUUUUUUAAGUCGUCUGGUUACCUUUGAUUUAUUGCCAAAAUUGCAGUACUUGCGGGUGCUCUCUUUUAAUGGCUAUCGUAUAACUGAGCUGCCAAACUCAAUCGGUGAUUUGAGACAUCUACGGUAUCUUGACCUUUCCUACACAGCUAUAACUAGUUUGCCUAAAUCGAUAAGUACUCUUUACAACUUGCAGACAUUGAUAUUGGAAGGCUGUAAUGAUUUGAAGUCAUUGCCUGCAGACAUGAGUAAUCUAGUUAAUUUGCGCCAUCUCAACAACUCAA